rnacentral:rRNA from 1 species
GUAAGUCAGUUGUGAAAGUUUGCGGCUCAACCGUAAAAUUGCAGUUGAUACUGUCAGUCUUGAGUACAGUAGAGGUGGGCGGAAUUCGUGGUGUAGCGGUGAAAUGCUUAGAUAUCACGAAGAACUCCGAUUGCGAAGGCAGCUCACUGGACUGCAACUGACACUGAUGCUCGAAAGUGUGGGUAUCAAACAGGAUUAGAUACCCUGGUAGUCCACACAGUAAACGAUGAAUACUCGCUGUUUGCGAUAUACAGUAAGCGGCCAAGCGAAAGCAUUAAGUAUUCCACCUGGGGAGUACGCCGGCAACGGUGAAACUCAAAGGAAUUGACGGGGGCCCGCACAAGCGGAGGAACAUGUGGUUUAAUUCGAUGAUACGCGAGGAACCUUACCCGGGCUUAAAUUGCAGUGGAAUGAUGUGGAAACAUGUCAGUGAGCAAUCACCGCUGUGAAGGUGCUGCAUGGUUGUCGUCAGCUCGUGCCGUGAGGUGUCGGCUUAAGUGCCAUAACGAGCGCAACCCUUAUCUUCAGUUACUAACAGGUCAUGCUGAGGACUCUGGAGAGACUGCCGUCGUAAGAUGUGAGGAAGGUGGGGAUGACGUCAAAUCAGCACGGCCCUUACGUCCGGGGCUACACACGUGUUACAAUGGGGGGUACAGAAGGCAGCUAGCGGGUAACCGUAUGCUAAUCCCAAAAUCCUCUCUCAGUUCGGAUCGAAGUCUGCAACCCGACUUCGUGAAGCUGGAUUCGCUAGUAAUCGCGCAUCAGCCACGGCGCGGUGAAUACGUUCCCGGGCCUUGUACACACCGCCCGUCAAGCCAUGGGAGCCGGGGGUACCUGAAGUACGUAACCGCAAGGAUCGUCCUAGGGUAAAACUGGUGACUGGGGCUAAGUCGUAACAAGGUAACC